CAGAAGGGGGAUGCUCAGAGAAUCCCUGCAGGAACCACUUUCUAUUUGGCUAAUCCAAGCGACAAGGAAACUCUCAGAGUAGCAACACUCUCCAUGCCCGUCAACGAAGCUACUGAAUUUGACAGUUUCUUCCUAUCUAGCACCGAAAGCCAA